rnacentral:snRNA from 1 species
CUUAGUUCUCAACCUUUUGGCUAAGAUCAAGUGUAGUAUCUGUUCUUAUCAGUGGAGGGGAUACCAUAUGCAUAUGAUUUGAGCCAUGAGCUUUUUGUCCCAGGCCUUGCAAACCUGGGGUGCCAGAGCUUCACUUGGUGAAGCUAGCCAUC